CAGUGUGUUUGUGUUACUAAUGUCGACUCUUUACUGGUGUACAAUCGGUAAACACUGCUCGAUAUAUGAAUUUCUGCCAAAGAAACGGUCAAUUUGGAUCAUGGUGGAUAUAGAAUUUUGCCCCAGCAUCUAUUAGGGAUCCUAGUUCACCCCAAUUUCAUCCACUCAUUCAUUCAUCUUCUGUAACUACUCUGUCAUCUGUCCUAAUCUUGAGUUGGCGCAGGUCCCAGUGACAGGUUGGUCUGACAAGCAAACCAAAAGUAGAACAUCUUUAUCUGAUGACAACAUUUAAUAUUGCCUCCAAAUCAUGGGUCUAGCUUGGAAGCUCAAUGUACCGGGUCUCAUCUGUUGCAGAAAAAAGUUGGUGAUAGAAACUUGUGUCCACUCCAGAUUGUCGGCGCAGACCUCAGAAGAGUAUCAGAAUUGGAGAAAAGCUGGGAACAAAAAGGGCAGUCCACCCCUACAGCUUAACAAAGGAUCAAACAAUGUGGCUGGUUGGGAGCAGAGGGAGAUGAGAGAAAACCUGCCGCCAGCCCCGGUCGCCAUCUUGGAUAUUUAUAUAGGCGUCCUCCAUCAGCCGCGGCCAAUCAGGGUCCAGGACCGGAGCCUCCCACAUCAAUCAUCUCCUCCGUGCAGCACACACCUGAAACAAACUACGACUACAGUCGUAACAGUAUCCUAGAAACGUUUAGAGGUCCCUGAACUACCCACUGGAUCUAUGUAUUUACUGGGAGAAGCAGCUCCUCAGUGGGUCAGUCUAUUUCCUGGAAGCUUCCCACUGAUUCUCGGAAUGGACUAAUAGAUACUGAUGAGCUGCAGUUCCUCCAGAGGCCACCAGGUGGUGAUGUCUCCUCAUCCUCUCUGGAAAUCCCUUUAUCUCUUUCCACAAAUAAAGUCAGUUCAGUUUGAACAAGAUGAUCAGUUCCACUCUCCUAACAUCAGCCUAUCUGAGACCUUUAUGUCUUCAAAGGCUCAAGGUUCUAUUCAAUGUUAAAAUUGUUAAGGUGGUAUUAAUAUAUUAAGGUGGUAUUAAAGUUAGGAUAUUAACAUGAGAGUUUCUAACUCAGUUUUCUAGGAGAAUAUUUAGUUGGAAGACUCUGAAGUCAUUGACAGAUUGACAGCACCAUCUACAGUAUGUGCUCUGAAAGUCUGAUGUGUGUUAACAGUGUGGACAAAAUAUUAGGGACAUUUUCCUGUCUGAUCCAGUCCAGCACAGCGCCACCAGCAGGCUGCAGUUCACCACUUUUCCUUGGACCUGAAUAACUCUGAGAGUGCGUUCAUCUCUGUUUCCAGUUUCUUCUGUUUGACUGUUAAUAUCUUGGAGACACUUUCAGCCUGAAAUCAUCUUCACUGAUCAGAGCUUCACAAAAUAAGACACAACAUAAAGAAGAUAGAAGAGAAACUAGAUUUUUAUCACGUUGUUCUUCAAUCAUUUCACAUUUGUAGAUCUUUAUAUAUCAAACAUUUCAGAAUAUUU